rnacentral:rRNA from 1 species
UACGUAGGGUGCAAGCGUUGUCCGGAAUUAUUGGGCGUAAAGAGCUCGUAGGCGGCUCGUCGCGUCUGCUGUGAAAGCCCGGGGCUUAACCCCGGGUCUGCAGUGGGUACGGGCGGGCUAGAGUGCGGUAGGGGGAGACUGGAAUUCCUGGUGUAGCGGUGAAAUGCGCAGAUAUCAGGAGGAACACCGGUGGCGAAGGCGGGUCUCUGGGCCGUAACUGACGCUGAGGAGCGAAAGCAUGGGUAGCGAACAGG